GAUGAACGCUGGCGGCGUGCUUAACACAUGCAAGUCGAACGGGAAGGCCCAAGCUUGCUUGGGUACUCGAGUGGCGAACGGGUGAGUAACACGUGGGUGAUCUGCCCUGCACUUCGGGAUAAGCCUGGGAAACUGGGUCUAAUACCGGAUAGGACCACAUUUUGGAUGGUGUGGUGGAAAGUUUUUCGGUGUGGGAUGAGCUCGCGGCCUAUCAGCUUGUUGGUGGGGUAAUGGCCUACCAAGGCGUCGACGGGUAGCCGGCCUGAGAGGGUGUACGGCCACAUUGGGACUGAGAUACGGCCCAGACUCCUACGGGAGGCAGCAGUGGGGAAUAUUGCACAAUGGGCGCAAGCCUGAUGCAGCGACGCCGCGUGGGGGAUGACGGCCUUCGGGUUGUAAACUCCUUUCGCUAGGGACGAAGCGCAAGUGACGGUACCUGGAGAAGAAGCACCGGCUAACUACGUG
rnacentral:rRNA from 1 species